rnacentral:rRNA from 1 species
AUUGAACGCUGGCGGCAGGCCUAACACAUGCAAGUCGAGCGGAUGAGUGGAGCUUGCUCCAUGAUUCAGCGGCGGACGGGCGAGUAAUGCCUAGGAAUCUGCCUGGUAGUGGGGGACAACGUUUCGAAAGGAACGCUAAUACCGCAUACGUCCUACGGGAGAAAGCAGGGGACCUUCGGGCCUUGCGCUAUCAGAUGAGCCUAGGUCGGAUUAGCUAGUUGGUGAGGUAAAGGCUCACCAAGGCGACGAUCCGUAACUGGUCUGAGAGGAUGAUCAGUCACACUGGAACUGAGACACGGUCCAGACUCCUACGGGAGGCAGCAGUGGGGAAUAUUGGACAAUGGGCGAAAGCCUGAUCCAGCCAUGCCGCGUGUGUGAAGAAGGUCUUCGGAUCGUAAAGCACUUUAAGUUGGGAAGAAGGGCAGUAAGUUAAUACCUUGCUGUUUUGACGUUACCGACAGAAUAAGCACCGGCUAACUUCGUGCCAGCCGCCGCAGUAACAC